GCGGGGAUGGCGAAAUUGGUAGACGCGUACGCUUAAGGAGCGUAUGGAGUAAUCUUUGCAGGUUCAAGUCCUGUUCCCCGCA
rnacentral:tRNA from 2 species